rnacentral:lncRNA from 1 species
CCCGGGUGCAGCUGCGCAGAAGCUCCAGUGGGAUUGGACUCCAGGGAGCUGAAAGACCGAGAGCCCCUCCCACAACCCCACCCCAUCCACGCCCGCACACUGGCCUCUCACUUGUCUGAGUCCAGGGCUCCUACUAUCUCUUAAGAAAUUCCUUGGCUCAGGGGUCACAGGGCCAGUGAAUCUCAGCCACCUCGGACUCCCGCAGCUGACAGGACAGGGUGUCAGGAAGAAAGGCCAGUAACGUCUGCUUCAACCCCUCCUGCUCCUGUUUGAACAGUUCUGACUGCGCCCAUGGUCCUAAUUCUCAGAAACCCAAUGGGGAGCCCAGAGCAACGGAAUAAGCAACCAGAGGAUCAGGAUCCCAAAUGGCACUUCGCAGCAGAUUUUCUCAGCAAGGGCUUCCUGUGACCUUAAUUACAUUUAAAUAGAGCUUGUACCUGGCUUUGCAGAGCCAAUCUGCUUCUGACCCUGUUUUUGACCCUGGAGAAAAAGAAGGGCUGUCUAGGCCAGGCAAGACGCACAGGGACAGGACAGUGAGAGGAUGUCAAGCUUGAGGAGUUUGGCAUGAGGCAGUCAGUUGACUUUAUGGCCAGCUUUUUGCCAAAAUUUUCUGUGAAUCUAUUCAAUUUUAGCAAAGAAAAGGAAGAGAAUACUAUUAUCCAAUGCAUACAGAAACUGAAGGCACAUUAUGGUUGUGCUAUGCACCCAGCCCAUUGACGCCAUUACUCUACUGAAGAUCGUGGUGAUGGCACAUAAAGAAUGUUUGAAAGUAACAGGAAAUGUAUAACUCAAUGAGCACCAGAUGAGGGUAAGAGAUCCUGUUUCUGCUCAGGAGCCAUUCUUACAACUUUCUUAAACACAUUGUGCACCUGAUAGUCUAUGGCUUGAGCCUGGAUUGCUCCUCACAGGUUCAUGUUUUGGCUCCCACUGUGUGAUGCUAUUUUGAAGGAUGUAGAGCUUUCAGGAAGUGGGGACUGGGUGGAGAAAGUAUAUUACCAGGAGCAGGUCAGCUUUUGAGGGGUUUGACUACUUAUUUCCUGCCUGCUGGUAGCAGCCAAAUCUGGUGGUGGUUUGAAUAAGAAUGGACCCCAU